CAGCAGCCGCGGGAAUACGGAGGGUGCAAGCGCUAAUCGGAAUUACUGGGCGUAAAGCGUGCGUAGGCGGUUCGUUAAGUCUGUUGUGAAAGCCCCGGGCUCAACCUGGGAAUGGCAAUGGAUACUGGCGAGCUAGAGUGUGUCAGAGGAUGGUGGAAUUCCCGGUGUAGCGGUGGAAUGCGUAGAGAUCGGGAGGAACAUCAGUGGCGAAGGCGGCCAUCUGGGACAACACUGACGCUGAGGCACGAAAGCGUGGGGAGCAAACAGGAUUAGAUACCCCAGUAGUCCCUGUCUCUUAUAA
rnacentral:rRNA from 1 species